UCUCAGUUCGGAUUGUAGUCUGCAACUCGACUACAUGAAGCUGGAAUCGCUAGUAAUCGCAGAUCAGAAUGCUGCGGUGAAUACGUUCCCGGGUCUUGUACACACCGCCCGUCACACCAUGGGAGUCGGAAAUGCCCGAAGCCGGUGACCCAACCAAAAGGAGGGAGCCGUCGAAGGCAGGUCUGAUAACUGGGGUGAAGUCGUAACAAGGUAGC
rnacentral:rRNA from 1 species